rnacentral:tRNA from 1 species
AAGAUGUAUUAUAAGACUUCUAAUCUUUAAAUAGUGUGACACUACAUCUUU